ensembl:lncRNA
ACGGGACAGUAGAGGACAGUACAGUAGGGGACGGGACAGUAGGGGACGGGACAGUAGAGGACGGGACAGUAGGGGACGGGACAGUAGAGGAUGGGACAGGACAGUAGAGGAUGGGACAGUAGGGGACGGGACAGUAGAGGAUGGGACAUUAGAGGACGGGACAGUAGGGGACGGUACAGUAGAGGAUGGGACAGUAGAGGACGGGACAGUAGAGGACAGGACAGUAGUGGACAGGACAGUAGGGGACGGGACAGUAGAGGACGGGACAGUAGGGGACGGGACAGUAGAGGAUGGGACAGUAGGGGACGGGACAGUAGAGAAUGGGACAGUAGAGGACGGGACAGUAGAGGACGGGACAGUAGGGGAAGGGACAGUAGAGGACGGGACAGUAGAGGAUGGGACAGGACAGUAGAGGACGGGACAGUAGAGGACGGGACAGUAGAGGACGGGACAGUAGGGGACGGGACAGUAGAGGAUGGGACAGUAGAGGACAGGACAGUAGAGGACGGGACAGUAGAGGACAGGACAGUAGAGGACUGGAAAGUAGAGGACGGGACAGUAGAGGAUGGGACAGGGCAAUAGAGGACACGGGACAGUAGAGGACGGGACAGUAGAGGACAGGACAG